rnacentral:rRNA from 1 species
AUGAUUCGUGGGACGUCCUGCCGGUGGUGGCGAGUCGAAGGCGUGCUCCCGUCGUGGUUUCCACUUCGGUUCUUGUGCGCCCGAGGCGGACCCCGAUGAAAUCCUACCGCGGUGCUCUUCGCCGAGUGUCGAGGUGGGCCGGCACGUUUACUUUGAACAAAUUAGAGUGUUUAAAGCAGGCCUGUUGCGCCUGAAUACUGUGUGCAUGGAAUAAUGGAAUAGGACCUCGGUUCUAUUUUGUUGGUUUUCGGAACCCGAGGUAAUGAUUAAUAGGGACAGGCGGGGGCAUUCGUAUUGCGACGUUAGAGGUGAAAUUCUUGGAUCGUCGCAAGACGGACCGAAGCGAAAGCAUUUGCCAAGUAUGUUUUCAUUAAUCAAGAACGAAAGUUAGAGGUUCGAAGGCGAUCAGAUACCGCCCUAGUUCUAACCAUAAACGAUGCCAGCUAGCGAUCCGCCGAAGUUCCUCCGAUGACUCGGCGGGCAGCUCCCGGGAAACCAAAGCUUUUGGGUUCCGGGGGAAGUAUGGUUGCAAAGCUGAACUUAAAGGAAUUGACGGAAGG